GUAUGUAGCUCAGUGGCAGAGUGCUUGCCUAGCCUGUGUGAGGCACUGGGUUCGAUCCUCAGCACCACA
rnacentral:tRNA from 1 species